rnacentral:rRNA from 1 species
GACGAAGGGGGCUAGCGUUGUUCGGAAUUACUGGGCGUAAAGCGCGUGUAGGCGGUUGUUCAAGUCAGGUGUGAAAGCCUUGAGCUCAACUCAAGAAAUGCACUUGAUACUGGAUGACUAGAGGACCGGAGAGGAUAGUGGAAUUCCCAGUGUAGUGGUGAAAUACGUAGAGAUUGGGAAGAACACCAGUGGCGAAGGCGGCUAUCUGGACGGUUUCUGACGCUAAGACGCGAAAGCGUGGGGAGCAAGCAGG